rnacentral:rRNA from 1 species
AGUCGAGCGAAUGGAUUAAGAGCUUGCUCUUAUGAAGUUAGCGGCGGACGGGUGAGUAACACGUGGGUAACCUACCCAUAAGACUGGGAUAACUCCGGGAAACCGGGGCUAAUACCGGAUAAUAUUUUGAACUGCAUAGUUCGAAAUUGAAAGGCGGCUUCGGCUGUCACUUAUGGAUGGACCCGCGUCGCACUAGCUAGUUGGUGAGGUAACGGCUCACCAAGGCGACGAUGCGUAGCCCACCUGAGAGGGUGAUCGGCCACACUGGGACUGAGACACGGCCCAGACUCCUACGGGAGGCAGCAGUAGGGAAUCUUCCGCAAUGGACGAAAGUCUGACGGAGCAACGCCGCGUGAGUGAUGAAGGCUUUCGGGUCGUAAAACUCUGUUGUUAGGGAAGAACAAGUGCUAGUUGAAUAAGCUGGCACCUUGACGGUACCUAACCAGAAAGCCACGGCUAACUACGUGCCAGCAGCCGCGGUAAUACGUAGGUGGCAAGCGUUAUCCGGAAUUAUUGGGCGUAAAGCGCGCGCAGGUGGUUUCUUAAGUCUGAUGUGAAAGCCCACGGCUCAACCGUGGAGGGUCAUUGGAAACUGGGAGACUUGAGUGCAGAAGAGGAAAGUGGA